rnacentral:rRNA from 1 species
GUGCAGCAGGCGCGAACCUCCGCAAUACACGAAGUGUGACGGGGUUACCCAAGUGUCCAAAUUUGGACUGUGGUAGGUGAGUAAUGUCCCCUACUAGAAAGGAGAGGGCAAGGCUGGUGCCAGCCGCCGCGGUAAAACCAGCUCUUCAAGUGGUCGGGAUAAUUAUUGGGCUUAAAGUGUCCGUAGCCGGUUUAGUAAGUUCCUGGUAAAAUCGGGUAGCUUAACUAUCUGUAUGCUAGGAAUACUGCUAUACUAGAGGGCGGGAGAGGUCUGAGGUACUACAGGGGUAGGGGUGAAAUCCUGUAAUCCUUGUAGGACCACCAGUGGCGAAGGCGUCAGACUGGAACGCGCCUGACGGUGAGGGACGAAAGCCAGGGGGAGCGAACCGGAUUAGAUACCCCGGGGUA